rnacentral:rRNA from 1 species
AGCGUAGACGGAGUGGCAAGUCUGAUGUGAAAACCCGGGGCUCAACCCCGGGACUGCAUUGGAAACUGUCAAUCUAGAGUACCGGAGAGGUAAGCGGAAUUCCUAGUGUAGCGGUGAAAUGCGUAGAUAUUAGGAGGAACACCGGUGGCGAAGGCGGCUUACUGGACGGUAACUGACGUUGAGGCUCGAAAGCGUGGGGAGCAAACA